GGUGAACGCUGGCGGCGUGCUUAAGACAUGCAAGUCGAACGGGCUCUUCGGAGCCAGUGGCGCACGGGUGAGUAACGCGUAACUGACCUACCCCAAAGUCGCGGAUAACGAUUCGAAAGAUCGCUAAUACGUGAUGUGCUGUCAGAUCCUGUUCUGCCAGUAAAGAUUUAUUGCUUUGGGAUGGGGUUGCGUUCCAUCAGCUAGUUGGUGGGGUAAAGGCCCACUAAGGCGACGACGGAUCGCCGGCCUGAGAGGGUGGCCGGCCACAGGGGCACUGAGACACGGGUACCAAUCCUACGGGAGGCAGCAGUUAGGAAUCUUCCACAAUGGGCGAAAGCCUGAUGGAGCGACGCAGCGUGAGGGAUGAAGGUCUUCGGAUCGUAAACCUCUGAAUCAGGGACGAAAGACGCGAAAGCGGGAUGACGGUACCUGAGUAAUAGCACCGGCUAACUCCGUG
rnacentral:rRNA from 1 species